GAUUAUGGCUCAGGACGAACGCUGGCGGCGUGCUUAACACAUGCAAGUCGAACGGGGAUAAGUUGGAAGGGCUUCGGCCCGGAAGAUUAAUCGAGUGGCGGACGGGUGAGUAACGCGUGAGCAACCUGUCCCAGACAGGGGGAUAACACUUGGAAACAGGUGCUAAUACCGCAUAAGACCACGGGAUCACAUGGUUCUGGGGUAAAAGGAGCAAUCCGGUUUGGGGUGGGCUCGCGUCCGAUUAGAUAGUUGGUGAGGUAACGGCCCACCAAGUCAACGAUCGGUAGCCGACCUGAGAGGGUGAUCGGCCACAUUGGAACUGAGAGACGGUCCAAACUCCUACGGGAGGCAGCAGUGGGGAAUAUUGGGCAAUGGGCGAAAGCCUGAACCCCAGCAACGCCGCGUGAGUGAAGAAGGCCUUCGGGUUGUAAAGCUCUGUUAUGUGGGACGAAGGAAGUGACGGUACCACAUAAGGAAGCCCCGGCUAACUACGUGCCAGCAGCUGC
rnacentral:rRNA from 1 species